rnacentral:rRNA from 1 species
GAAGGUGUGCUGUGAGGCAUGCUGGAGGUAUCAGAAGUGCGAAUGCUGACAUAAGUAACGAUAAAGCGGGUGAAAAGCCCGCUCGCCGGAAGACCAAGGGUUCCUGUCCAACGUUAAUCGGGGCAGGGUGAGUCGACCCCUAAGGCGAGGCCGAAAGGCGUAGUCGAUGGGAAACAGGUUAAUAUUCCUGUACUUGGUGUUACUGCGAAGGGGGGACGGAGAAGGCUAUGUUGGCCGGGCGACGGUUGUCCCGGUUUAAGCGUGUAGGCUGGUUUUCCAGGCAAAUCCGGAAAAUCAAGGCUGAGGCGUGAUGACGAGGCACUACGGUGCUGAAGCAACAAAUGCCCUGCUUCCAGGAAAAGCCUCUAAGCAUCAGGUAACAUCAAAUCGUACCCCAAACCGACACAGGUGGUCAGGUAGAGAAUACCAAGGCGCUUGAGAGAACUCGGGUGAAGGAACUAGGCAAAAUGGUGCCGUAACUUCGGGAGAAGGCACGCUGAUAUGUAGGUGAAGCGACUUGCUCGUGGAGCUGAAAUCAGUCGAAGAUACCAGCUGGCUGCAACUGUUUAUUAAAAACACAGCACUGUGCAAACACGAAAGUGGACGUAUACGGUGUGACGCCUGCCCGGUGCCGGAAGGUUAAUUGAUGGGGUCAGCGCAAGCGAAGCUCUUGAUCGAAGCCCCGGUAAACGGCGGCCGUAACUAUAACGGUCCUAAGGUAGCGAAAUUCCUUGUCGGGUAAGUUCCGACCUGCACGAAUGGCGUAAUGAUGGCCAGGCUGUCUCCACCCGAGACUCAGUGAAAUUGAACUCGCUGUGAAGAUGCAGUGUACCCGCGGCAAGACGGAAAGACCCCGUGAACCUUUACUAUAGCUUGACACUGAACAUUGAGCCUUGAUGUGUAGGAUAGGUGGGAGGCUUUGAAGUGUGGACGCCAGUCUGCAUGGAGCCGACCUUGAAAUACCACCCUUUAAUGUUUGAUGUUCUAACGUUGACCCGUAAUCCGGGUUGCGGACAGUGUCUGGUGGGUAGUUUGACUGGGGCGGUCUCCUCCUAAAGAGUAACGGAGGAGCACGAAGGUUGGCUAAUCCUGGUCGGACAUCAGGAGGUUAGUGCAAUGGCAUAAGCCAGCUUGACUGCGAGCGUGACGGCGCGAGCAGGUGCGAAAGCAGGUCAUAGUGAUCCGGUGGUUCUGAAUGGAAGGGCCAUCGCUCAACGGAUAAAAGGUACUCCGGGGAUAACAGGCUGAUACCGCCCAAGAGUUCAUAUCGACGGCGGUGUUUGGCACCUCGAUGUCGGCUCAUCACAUCCUGGGGCUGAAGUAGGUCCCAAGGGUAUGGCUGUUCGCCAUUUAAAGUGGUACGCGAGCUGGGUUUAGAACGUCGUGAGACAGUUCGGUCCCUAUCUGCCGUGGGCGCUGGAGAACUGAGGGGGGCUGCUCCUAGUACGAGAGGACCGGAGUGGACGCAUCACUGGUGUUCGGGUUGUCAUGCCAAUGGCACUGCCCGGUAGCUAAAUGCGGAAGAGAUAAGUGCUGAAAGCAUCUAAGCACGAAACUUGCCCCGAGAUGAGUUCUCCCUGACCCUUUAAGGGUCCUGAAGGAACGUUGAAGACGACGACGUUGAUAGGCCGGGUGUGUAAGCGCAGCGAUGCGUUGAGCUAACCGGUACUAAUGAACCGUGAGGCUUAACCUUACAACGCCGAAG